rnacentral:tRNA from 1 species
GCCAGACUGGUUCAGUUGGUGGAAUGUGUGACUCUUGAUCUCAGGAUUAUGGGUUCGAGCCCCACAUUGGGUA